UACACACCGCCCGUCACACCAUGGGAGUUGAUUGCACCAGAAGUAGUUAGCCUAACCGCAAGGGGGCGAUUACCACGGUGUGGUACAAUGACUGGGGUG
rnacentral:rRNA from 1 species